rnacentral:rRNA from 1 species
AGGGUUUGAUCCUGGCUCAGGACGAACGCCGGCGGCGUGCUUAACACAUGCAAGUCGAACGGAGCACCCUUGAAUGAGGUUUCGGCCAAAGGAAAGGAAUGCUUAGUGGCGGACUGGUGAGUAACGCGUGAGGAACCUGCCUUUCAGAGGGGGACAACAGCUGGAAACGGCUGCUAAUACCGCAUGAUGUGUAACUGGGACAUCCCGGAUACACCAAAGAUUUAUCGCUGAAAGAUGGCCUCGCGUCUGAUUAGAUAGUUGGCGGGGUAACGGCCCACCAAGUCGACGAUCAGUAGCCGGACUGAGAGGUUGACCGGCCACAUUGGGACUGAGAUACGGCCCAG